rnacentral:tRNA from 1 species
GUUGAAAUAAUUUAAUAAAAAUAUUGAUUUUGUAAAUCAAAAUUGGAGUUCCCUUUUAACA